UAAAUAGGCUGAUGAUGAUGAUGAUGAUGAUGAUGAUGAUCAUCAUCAUCAUCAUCAUCCUCAUCAUCAGCC
rnacentral:pre_miRNA from 1 species